rnacentral:rRNA from 1 species
CGGACGGGUGAGUAAUGUCUGGGAAACUGCCUGAUGGAGGGGGAUAACUACUGGAAACGGUAGCUAAUACCGCAUAACGUCGCAAGACCAAAGAGGGGGACCUUCGGGCUUCUUGCCAUCGGAUGUGCCCAGAUGGGAUUAGCUAGUAGGUGGGGUAAAGGCUCACCUAGGCGACGAUCCCUAGCUGGUCUGAGAGGAUGACCAGCCACACUGGAACUGAGACACGGUCCAG